rnacentral:rRNA from 1 species
GGGCGCAAGYCUGAUGCAGCGACGCCGCGUGAGGGAUGGAGGCCUUCGGGUUGUAAACCUCUUUUGUUUGGGAGCAAGCCUUCGGGUGAGUGUACCUUUCGAAUAAGCGCCGGCUAACUACGUGCCAGCAGCCGCGGUAAUACGUAGGGCGCAAGCGUUAUCCGGAUUUAUUGGGCGUAAAGGGCUCGUAGGCGGCUCGUCGCGUCCGGUGUGAAAGUCCAUCGCUUAACGGUGGAUCUGCGCCGGGUACGGGCGGGCUGGAGUGCGGUAGGGGAGACUGGAAUUCCCGGUGUAACGGUGGAAUGUGUAGAUAUCGGGAAGAACACC